AGAUUGAACGCUGGCGGCAUGCCUUACACAUGCAAGUCGAACGGUAGAGUAGCAAUACUCGAGAGUGGCGAACGGGUGAGUAAUAUAUCGGAACGUGCCCAGUCGUGGGGGAUAACGUAGAGAAAUUUACGCUAAUACCGCAUACGAUCUACGGAUGAAAGCGGGGGAUUCGCAAGAACCUCGCGCGAUUGGAGCGGCUGAUAUCAGAUUAGGUAGUUGGUGGGGUAAAGGCUCACCAAGCCAACGAUCUGUAGCUGGUCUGAGAGGACGACCAGCCACACUGGGACUGAGACACGGCCCAGACCUCCGUACGGGAGCAGCAGGUGGGUAAUUUUGGACUAAGUGGGCGCGAAGCCUAGACUCCAGGCAAGUGCCGCGUGCGAGGAAGAGGUCCGUUCGGUUAGUAACGUGU
rnacentral:rRNA from 1 species